ensembl:lncRNA
UCUAUGUGUGUGCCUUUUGGACUUUGUAAUAAAAAUGUACACACACCUAAAUGAGAGUACUUUGCAUCCUGUGUCAUCUAUAGAGGCCCCCAAAUGCUGUGCAUGUUUCAGUAUUUACUCUGCAUUAAAUUAAAGAAAAAGGAAAAAAAGUCUUCCAACCUUUUAUUCAUUUUUAGUAAUAAACAGUUGAUGCUGAAAGGCAGCGCCGUAGCUCCGCAAACGCACAUAACGCACACUGCGUAGGGCACCAAAUGGCCGGUAGGGCACCAAAAAAAUCAGGGUCGUAAAAAAAAAAAAAAAGUAAACCAUAUUAAUACUAUAAAUAUCAUAUGCAUUAAUAUGGUUAAACAAUACAAAAGCAACAUAAAACAAUUUUCCCGAGAAAAGGGGUGAAUCUGCUUUGUGCCCUGUCUCCAGUCUCCUCCUGGUGCCCCCCCCCCACUCCCAGUGGUCUGUUCUAUAAUGCCUCAAUUCGGUAUUGGUAAACACCUGUUUGAACAUGGCCUCGAAACGGCAACAGGAGUCGGGAGCGGAGAAAAGAAAGAAGAAGAGGAAGCGUGAUGAAACUCAGGCGUCGCUUGCCGGGUCAAUGCUUAAAUAUGUUCAAGGAGGAUCUCAAGGACAGGAUGAACCAUCCAGUAGUAGUGCCAUCCCUGGACAUCAACCACCAGCCAUUGUAGACCCUGCAACAAUCCCUAGCCAAGAAGAACAAGAACCAUCAACCACCAGUUCAGCGCUUGCAGGACUGUUGCCAUGGAGAUUACAAUUGCUUCCCAUGCCUGGUGGAACAUCAAAAGGAAACGCAACGUUAACCACGCGCACACACACAAACACACAUAUAACUGCUCCAGACCUGCAGAAGAAGAGCGAUACAGAGGCUUCUGCUUUUAUCUUAGCCCAUAGAGGGGUUACACUGUCACCAAGCAUGGAUUGGGCCAAUAUCUCACUCAGAAGCAAGUGAAAGUGAACCUUAAACCCACAUUUGAGGUAGAAACAUUUUUAUUUUACAUUUAAG